ACAGACUGAUGGUUUAAGGUAGAUAAGAGGAGGCAGGAACAGACUGAGGGUUUAAAGUAGAUAAGAGGAGGCAGGAACAGACUGAGGGUUUAAGGUAGAUACGAAGAGGCAGGAACAGACUGAUGGUUUAAGGUAGAUAAGAGGAGGCAGGAACAGACUGAUGGUUUAAGGUAGAUAAGAGGAGGCAGGAACAGACUGAUGGUUUAAGGUAGAUAAGAAGAGGCAGGGACAGACUGAGGGUUUAAGGUAGAUAAGAAGAGGCAGGGACAGACUGAUGGUUUAAGGUAGAUAAGAGGAGGCAGGAACAGACUGAGGGUUUAAGGUAGAUAAGAGGAGUCAGGAACAGACUGAGGGUUUAAGGUAGAUAAGAGGAGGCAGGAACAGACUGAUGGUUUAAGGUAGAUAAGAGGAGGCAGGAACAGACUGAUGGUUUAAGGUAGAUAAGAAGAGGCAGGGACAGACUGAUGGUUUAAGGUAGAUAAGAAGAGGCAGGGACAGACUGAGGGUUUAAGGUAGAUAAGAGGAGGCAGGGACAGACUGAGGGUUUAAGG
ensembl:lncRNA